GCCAUGCUUUGCUAGGUUUCCAGCUUCCUGGAAUGCUGUGGAAAAUUUUCUUGUUUGUGUUAACAAGCAAUACAGUUAAUCAGAUAGGUAGUUACAGGGAGAAGGAUGGUGGUUGGCUGCAUCUUAUAAACCCCUGCAACAUAAUUGGCUUUCUUGCUACAUGUUGUGUGCUCUUGCUGUGUAGUCAUAAAAUCAGUUAGGAACUACAUGGAGCAGGUUUCAGAACAGCAUUUCCUAUACUGCUUGUUUUCUUUUCAGCUAGUAGCCAGCAGAUUAAGUUUUGGAAGGAAAAAAGCAAAAAGCAGGGAAUUUUUAAACAACAGUUUUUAAAAGGAAAUAGCCAAUAAUUUCUCAAGCUUUGAAGUUUCAUUUUAAUAAUUUAGCACUUGGGCACAUGGGCUCUUAAUCAUUAGAAGCUAGCAUUUGCCAAAAAGCAUGUUGUGAAUAGUGACAGGAAACAAUUCCAAGAUGGAAUUACUAUGGAAACAUCCAUAACUGACUGAAUGAAUAAUGAUCUUUUGUCAACCACUUCUUAGUAUAGUUCUUUUUACCUUUCUCUAGCUCAGUGUUUUAAACAGAUGUAUUUUCAAUGUCUUCUUAAGUUUAUUGUGGUAGUUUCAUUAGUCAUAUGCCCAUCUGCCCUAUUUUUGUAACUUUUUUUUUUUUUUUAAACUCAAACUUUGUCUAAAAGACUGGAAAAAAAAUAUGGAUUGAAAACUGCUUUGAAUGGAAAAAUUAAAUUAUUAUGUGAAUGUUUGACUAAUGAGAGGAAUUUUCCCUGGCAUGAAAUGGGGAAGUAAAGAAGGCAGGCCCAGGCUCUGCUCAGUGGUGUGUAGUGAUGAUGUUAAGAGGCAAUAGGCACAAAUACAAGUAUAAAAAUAUUUGAUUUGUUGCUUUCAUGUUUUAAUGUGAUGAAUCAUUUUGUUCAUAUAUAAAUGUUAGCUGUCUUCCAGAGGGAAGUCACUGUUCUGGCUGGGAGGGUCUGUGACCACAAAACAGUGAGUUGUUUUGUAAGAAAAAGCAGAAUAGAAGCUGGUGGUGCUUUUCCAUUUCCACUUUUCACGUGUUGUGGAUCAGUGGCUACCUGUAAACAGGCCAGAGAACGUAGGCUUGAGACCUUGGAAAUAUGAAAGCUUGUUUUGGUGUUACUGACAUGAUUCACCAGGAGGUAAUAAGAGUUGGUGUGAAGUUUGGAACAAAUUGUAUUUCUGUAACUGUCAUUGGAAGCAGGAUCAAUAUGGGAUUUCUGCUGGCAUGGACAAGGAAAACAUCUGACCCAGUUGCACUAAAUUUUAAAUAGGAAGACUUUUGCAUUACGCUAUAUGUGAUAACGUUUAGAUUUUGUGAAGAGAAUGAGGGUGCCAGACUAAAGUAUAUCUAAAGAAGUGAGAAUAGCAAAUAUCCCUACAUGUGUUUGUAUGAUACUGGUUGCAAUAACUAACUCUUCAGGAAAAGUAAGUUGUAUAGGAUUGCAGGAAAUAAAUCAGUCAGGUUUGUCUGAGAAACACUUAAGGAGUUAGUUUGUCCUUCCCAUGUAUUGGAAUCCUAUUUAUUUUAUAUUUCUCCUCCAGUGAACUCAUCUUCUAUCAUACAUAUGCCUGCAAUAUGUGUUUUAGAAGGAAUUUGACUCUAACCCAAAUAUUUAGUCUGAUUUAAGCAAGUCCAAUUCACUGCAUAUCAUUACCUCUGUUUUUGCUUCUGCCAUGAGUACUGUAGCUGUCCAGCAUCAGGCAUCCAGCUGAGAGUGCUGGUAUCCAGCUGUUCAGGGAAGUCCUGCAUCAGGAGCAAAAUGAGGCACCUCUAAGACAUCUAUGAGAUAUGUGUUUGUGGAAAAGUAACAUAUUUUAUUCUCCCUCACUUCUCAGAAACUUUGCCAUUGAAGACAAAACUUCACUACACUUAAGUAAGCAAUCUUGUAAAUUUAAAACGAAUUAUAGCUGAAAUUUAUACUGCUUUUUGACCUUGUUAUUCUUUAUAUGUUAGGGAAAAAAAAGACAUUGGACUGCAGAACUCUGGAAUUAUUUGUAAUGUCAUUUGUGCUCUAAUGGCACUACUGUAAAACGUCAUAAAUAAACAGGCAUUCCUAAA